CGGGGUGUAGCGCAGCUUGGUAGCGCAUCCGCUUUGGGAGCGGAGGGUCGCAGGUUCAAAUCCUGUCACCCCGACCAUCU
rnacentral:tRNA from 1 species